GAUCAUGGCGUCAGGAUGAACGCUAGCUACAGGCUUAACACAUGCAAGUCGAGCGGAACUGCUCGGCAGUUAGCGGCAGACGGGUGAGUAACACGUAUCCAACCUUCCCCUUACUCGGGUAUAGCCUCGGGAAACUGAGAGUAAUCCCCGAUGUGGUGUACGCUUCGCAUGUAAUGCACACCAAAGAUUAAUCGGUAAGGGAUGGGGAUGCGUUCCAUUAGCUAGUAGGCGGGGUAACGGCCCACCUAGGCGAUGAUGGAUAGGGGUUCUGAGAGGAAGGUCCCCCACAUUGGAACUGCGACACGGUCCAAACUCCUACGGGAGGCAGCAGUGAGGAAUAUUGGUCAAUGGCCGAGAGGCUGAACCAGCCAAGUAGCGUGCAAGGAUGACGGCCCUACGGGUUGUAAACUGCUUUUGUGCGGGAAUAACGGUCGACACGUGUGUUGAUGUGCAUGUACCGUACGAAUAAGGAUCGGCUAACUCCGUGCCAGCCGCGGC
rnacentral:rRNA from 1 species